rnacentral:lncRNA from 1 species
UUAUGACCCAUGUGUUCCCUAGAGGAAGAAGGGCACACACUUCCAUCAACUGUCUCACACUUAGUGAUGUGUCCUGAGAAGCCUAGGGCUGUUUACGUAUGUGCUGCGUCUUUGUGUAAAUAAGGAAGAGUCCCUAUCCUUAUAGUGGGCACAGCCUUGUGCUAGGGCCAAGGCCUGAGCAAGCAGCCUCCAUGUGCAGCUCUACCUCCAUGCCUGGCCUCUGUGGAGCACCUUUGUAUUGUGUGGGCGCUGCACAGUUGCACUGGGAACCCCAUUGGUCACCUCUAGCUCAGGAGCAGCCUGACUGGCUGCCUGACUUUUUCUCUCUACCAUUUGCUUAUUCCGCUCCUCAGUGCCGUCCUAUCUCCUGCCCUCACUCCCUUCUCAUUCCCAAACUAAGUCCCACCAGGUCACAAGCAGCUUGUUCUCUGGGGACCAUGUACAGAUCAGAGUGGCCCUCCAGAGCCUUGGGGGAGGCCAUCCAGAGCUGAGCCCCUGGAUCAAGGCUAUGUGGGGCUUGUGUGCCAGACCGAGGGAUCAGGGAAGCCUUACUUCUAAGUGCUUGGUUGUGAGGAAAUUGGUAGCACUGACUCAUGGAACGGAGUCCUUCCUGGAUAGGACCCAGGAAGCCACAGUCUCCAUCACUGUUCUUACUUGAGAUUCUUGUUCCAGGUGGCAGAGGUAUCACUUUGGACUUAGAAGUUUCAGCAAAAUGUCUCAAAGGUAUCUUACUUGCUUGCCAAGGCAAGUCCUCUUAUAAAAGGGAGGCUUUAAAAGUCUGUCAAAGGAUACUACCAAGAGGGUGGAUUCAUUAUUUUAAAGCCCUUUCAGGGUCCUCCUACCAUUGCAUUCUUCAUGAACUUCUUUGGAUGGUGACUUGGAAGGUGCUGCUUCUUACUGGCCAAGUCUUAGAAUGUUCCUGCCCAGAAAAUGCCCACUUUGGAACAGAUAUAAUAUGUAAUACUCUGAUAUAG